GGUUGAGUUGGUGACGCGAGCCGGGGGAGUGCGAGGGGUUAAAGGGUUGUUCGGAAUUGCUUGUCGGGAGGGGGGCGGAGGUGGUUAGGUAAGUCUGAUGGGAAAGCCGUGGGCUAAACCUGGGAAUGGCAUUGGGUACUGGCGACCUAGAGUGCGGUAGAGGUUAGUGGAAUUCCCGGUGUAGCAGUGAAAUGCGUAGAUAUCGGGAGGAACAUCUGUGGCGAAGGCGACUACCGGGACCAGCACUGACACUGAGGCACGAAAGCGUGGGGAGCAAACAGGAUUAGAUACCCCAGUAGC
rnacentral:rRNA from 1 species